UACGUAGGGGGCAAGCGUUGUCCGGAUUUAUUGGGCGUAAAGCGCUCGCAGGUGGUUCGUUGCGUCGUGCGUGAAAGACCCCGGCUCAACUGGGGGGUGUCGUGCGAUACGGGCGAACUGGAGGCCAGUAGGGGGAUGCGGAAUUCCGGGUGUAGUGGUGGAAUGCGUAGAGAUCCGGAGGAACACCAGUGGCGAAGGCGGCAUCCUGGACUGGUCCUGACACUCAGGAGCGAAAGCGUGGGGAGCGAUCCGG
rnacentral:rRNA from 1 species